rnacentral:rRNA from 1 species
AUGGCUUGGUUUGAACGUGAAGGCUUCUUUGAUCUUGUAGCUAGAGAGUGGGCUAAGGAUUCAGGAGGAAUCACUGCGCUUCAGCGCUGGCAGAAUAAGAUCAGGCACUUGAGGAGUGUCCUGCGUGGAUGGGCUAAGCAUCUUAGCGGGAUUUAUAAGGUUGAAAAGGAAAGGCUUCUGUCACUUAUUCAGUCCCUAGAUGUAAAGGCAGAAACCACGCUUCUGCCUGUCGCGGAGCUUCAAACUAAGCUGGACGCGGAAUUGAGGCUGAAAGAACUUCUUAGGGAAGAAGAGUUGAAGUGGGCGUUGCGGGCCAAGGUACGGAGAGUCGUCCAGGGGGACGCGAACACUGAAUUUUUUCACAUGAUUGCUAAUGGUAAGCAUCGAAAGAAGAGGAUCUUUCAGCUUGAGCAAGAUGAGGGAACAAUUGUAGGACAGGAGAACCUAAAAUUGUACAUUACUGAGUUCUAUAAGCAGUUGUUUGGUCCUCCAGCAAAUAACUGUGUGUCUCUGGAUGAGUCCAGGGUUGAGGAUGUUCCUCAGCUCACAGUUGUUGAGAAUGAAGUUCUUACGGCUCCUUUUACCGAGAAAGAGGUAUUUGAGGCCGUUUCACAGAUGGAAACUAACAAAGCGCGGGGCCCGGAUGGAUUUCCAGCGGAGUUUUAUAAGAAAUGCUGGUGUAUCAUUAAAGGUGAUUUGUUGCCUUUGUUCAAUGAUCUGUUUGCUGGGCAGCUUCAUCUUUUUCAGCUAAAUUUUGGAACGAUCACACUUCUUCCGAAGAAAACAGAGGCUGUGAGAAUUGAGCAAUUCAGGCCAAUCUGUCUUCUUAAUGUUAGUUUCAAAAUUUUCACCAAGGUCGGGACCAAUAGGCUCUCACAGAUCGCGCAUGCUGUUGUGCAGCCUACCCAAACUGCUUUCAUGCCGGAUAGGAACAUCCUUGAGGGUGUUGUGGUCCUACAUGAAACGCUCCAUGAAAUCCACACGAAAAAGCUGGAUGGGGUUAUUUUCAAAGUGGAUUUCGAAAAAGCGUAUGACAAAGUCAAAUGGCCUUUCCUUCAACAGGCUUUACGCAUGAAGGGUUUUGAUGAGGCCUGGCGACGCCAGGUAGAAUCCUUUACGCAAAAAGGUAGUGUUGGAAUUAAAGUAAAUGAUGAUAUAGGUCAUUAUUUUCAGACACACAAAGGCCUGAGGCAAGGAGACCCAAUGUCCCCUAUAUUGUUCAACAUUGUAGUUGAUAUGUUGGCCAUUCUCAUAGGCAGGGCAAAGAACGCCGGUCAGGUAGGUGGUUUGGUGCCUAACCUAGUUGAUGGGGGUGUAUCCAUAUUGCAGUACGCUGAUGAUACAAUCAUCUUCAUGGAGCAUGAUCUGGCAAAAGCGAGAAACAUGAAGCUGGUGUUGUGUUUAUUUGAACAAUUGUCCGGUUUAAAGAUUAACUUUCAUAAAAGCGAGUUGUUCUGCUUUGGUAGAGCCAAGGAGGAACAAGAGGCUUAUAGACAAUUGUUUGGUUGUGAAUUAGGGGCUUUACCUUUUACUUACCUGGGUAUACCCAUUCAUCAUCGUAAGCUCACGAACAGAGAGUGGAAAUGUAUCGAAGAUCGGUUCGAAAAGAAACUUAGUUGUUGGAAGGGCAAACUUCUAUCUUAUGGAGGCCGGUUAAUUCUUAUUAAUUCGGUGCUCACAAGUUUGCCGAUGUUCCUACUAUCUUUCUUUGAGGUUCCAGUUGGGGUCAGGAAAAGGCUGGACUUCUAUCGGUCAAGAUUUUUUUGGCAGAGCGAUGAUCUUAAGAGAAAGUAUAGACUCGCCAAGUGGGAUAUUAUUUGUCGUCCCAAGGAUCAGGGGGGGUUGGGUAUCGAGAAUCUUGAGAUCAAGAACAGAUGCCUGCUUAGUAAAUGGCUAUAUAAGUUAUCAGUUGGGACUGAUGCGAAUUGGGCACAGAUACUUCGUAACAAGUAUCUGCAAUCCAAAACCUUGUCUCAGGUGACAAUGAGACCAACUGAUUCGCCAUUUUGGAAGGGGCUUAUGAGAGUUAAGUCAACCUUCUUUAAUAGAACAAAGUUUAUAGUCGGAGAUGGUAACGAUACUCGCUUUUGGGAGGACACUUGGCUUGGUGAGACACCUUUGGCAUUACAGUACCCAUCUCUGUAUCGUAUUGUGAAUCGUCGUGAUGCGCUUGUGGCGACGAUUAUGCAGGCCACCCCUCUUAAUAUUUAG